rnacentral:lncRNA from 1 species
CAAAAUCAAAUAACAAAACAUAUCAAACGAAUGGACAAUAACUGUCAUAUUCCUGACUAGGUACAGGCAUUUUCAAAUGUAGUUAAUGGUGGAUUGAACCUGGUUUUAUAGCACUAAACCUCUCAUUUUCACAACAGUCUCAUCAAAUUCCGUUAUAUUUACAACGAUGCGUGAAAAAAAACCUACAAAAUAAAUAAAAUAGUCAAAAUAUGGGAACAGCAGUCAUCGCUGUGUUACAACAAACGAUUUUACAAAAAAAG